ACAGCUAUGGCAGCAGACUGCUCUCAAGCACCAGAGUAGGAUGCAAAGCUGGAUCGACUUCAUCAUGGCCAGAGAAACAUGGCUAGAAGCAGGAAGAUACUACUAGGAUGGUUUGCAGUAACACAGGUUGCAAGGAAGAGCUCUUCUCUAUGGGCAGACCCAGGUCUUCUGAGGACAUCCCUGAUGUGCUUUUGACCUCUCCUGAGGCUCUCUCCUGGCCUCUGGCAGACCCUCAGCAACCUUGUCUGUCUUGAGGUGAGCACACACAUCAUCAUGGCUAAGGUGUGUCUGACAGAUGGGAAAGCCACCAAGUUAUCAGGGAACACUCGCCUGUCUGUCCUCCAACAGCGGUCUGAGUGAGAGGAGGGAGAAAUGAAGGUAACGACGAGGCUGGUGCCACGGAGUUGAGUGCUGCCACCCUCACAGUGCGUGUGAGUUGUCAUGUGAAUACGCCUUCUACUCAUCACAUUGCUCUGUGGCCUCUCUAGGCACCCAGCCUCUGGAAACAGUAAAUUAUGGGUGAAGAUUCAGAGAUCCAGAGAUAAGACGAGGUGGAUGGGGGUCACAGAGGUCACCAUGGAUGAAUUAUGAAGAAUGUUGAGAUACAGAGGUAAAAAAGAGUUACCAUCUUUCGAGGCAGUUUGAUCCUGGAAGUGACCACAGUGUUUAUUGAGGAUAUUAUGUUUGGAAGGCUAUGCAAUCAAGCAAUAAAGCAAAUGUAGAGUCCAGAAGCUAGAGCUAUUUUCUCUUGGCUUCCAACAUCUUCUGGAGAAAUAUUUCAUUGAGAAGCUAAUGGAAAGUAAAUUGAUAUCUGAAAACAGAGCUCAGUCUACCAAGGACUUGCUUCAGAA
rnacentral:lncRNA from 1 species